AAGGAAAGAAUCUAUGAUGUGAACAAAUGUUGCUAUAAAUGUAACAAGAACUGCAGAGCUUCUCCGGUGAACGUGACUGUGAACUACAACAACUGCAAGAAGAAAGUUGCCAUGGCAAGAUGUGUAGGGGAGUGUAAAAAAACUGUCGGGUACAAUUAUGAUCUGUUUCAGUUGGAAAAUUCAUGCCUUUGCUGCCGAGAAGAAAACUACGAGUACAGAGACAUUGCCCUGGACUGCCCGGAUGGCAGUACGCUGUCUUACAGAUACAGGCACACCACAACCUGCUCCUGUGCUGAUCUGUGCGAAAAUUCGAGAAGCUCAGCCACCCGCUAAUUCAAACAUCACCUUUCUAACUUCAUCUAGAUGAUGAAGCCACCUUUUUAGUUGUAUUUAUUUUAUAAGUGAAGAAAACGUCAUGAAGGAAUAACACUUGUAUCUUACCCAGAGCAUCAAUACUUGUAAUGAGACAUUUGUUUCACUUGUUGACUGGACCCCCCAAAAUAAAUACACCUUUGC